AUGGCGUCCGGGCCUCACCCGACCUCGACCGCUGCCGCCGCCGCUGCCGCCGCCUCUUCGGCCGUCCCGAGCGCGGGCGGCUCCAGCUCCGGGACGACGACCACGACGACGACCACCACGGGAGGGAUCCUGAUCGGCGACCGCCUGUACUCGGAAGUUUCGCUCACCAUCGACCACUCGCUGAUUCCGGAGGAGAGGCUUUCUCCCACCCCGUCCAUGCAGGACGGGCUCGACCUGCCCAGCGAGACGGACUUGCGCAUCCUGGGCUGCGAGCUCAUCCAGGCCGCCGGCAUUCUCCUCCGGCUGCCGCAGGUGGCGAUGGCAACGGGGCAGGUGUUGUUUCAUCGUUUUUUCUACUCCAAGUCUUUUGUCAAGCACAGUUUCGAGAUUGUUGCCAUGGCUUGUAUUAAUCUUGCAUCCAAAAUCGAAGAAGCACCUAGACGGAUAAGAGAUGUGAUUAAUGUAUUCCACCAUCUACGGCAGUUAAGAGGAAAAAGGACUCCAAGCCCCCUGAUCCUUGAUCAGAACUACAUUAACACCAAAAAUCAAGUUAUCAAGGCAGAGAGGAGGGUGCUAAAGGAGUUGGGAUUUUGUGUUCAUGUCAAGCAUCCCCAUAAGAUCAUUGUUAUGUAUUUACAAGUCUUAGAAUGUGAACGUAACCAAACCCUGGUUCAAACUGCCUGGAAUUAUAUGAAUGACAGUCUUCGAACCAAUGUUUUUGUUCGAUUUCAACCAGAGACUAUAGCAUGUGCAUGCAUCUACCUUGCAGCUAGAGCACUUCAGAUUCCACUGCCAACUCGUCCCCAUUGGUUUCUUCUUUUUGGUACUACGGAAGAGGAGAUCCAAGAAAUUUGCAUAGAAACGCUUCGGCUUUAUACCAGAAAAAAGCCAAACUAUGAAUUGUUGGAAAAAGAAGUUGAAAAAAGAAAAGUAGCUUUACAAGAAGCCAAACUGAAAGCAAAAGGAUUAAACCCUGAUGGAACUCCAGCCCUUUCAACCCUUGGUGGAUUUUCUCCAGCUUCUAAACCAUCAUCCCCAAGAGAAAUAAAAGCUGAAGAAAAGUCACCAAUUUCUGUUAAUGUGAAGACAGUCAAAAAAGAACCUGAGGAUAGACAACAGGCUUCCAAAAGCCCUUACAAUGGGGUAAGAAAAGACAGCAAAAGAAGUAGAAAUAGCAGAAGUGCAAGUCGAUCAAGGUCAAGAACACGAUCACGGUCUAGAUCGCACACUCCACGAAGACAACUUGGCUCUACAUGAUUUGCUGCUGUUUCCAAAAAAUUCAAAUACACACACACAAGGAGGUUUACUGCCACUAAGGAUGUUUAAAAAAAGUUACAGCUUCGGAAGAGGAUGCCAAAGAUGACUUCCAGAUGUGUUCCUCACUGGCAGGCAGUGGUGCUGGUAGGAUAGCUUCACAAGGCGACCACUCUGAAGCAAACGAUUCAUUUGGAUGUAAAAGUCUGGCAGACGAGAUCUUCCAUCUGCUGGCUCACUCCCCAAAUGCCUGCAACUGACAGGCGAAGCCCAGGAACCUGGAACUCAGUCCUGGUUUCCCACAUGGAUGGCGGAGACUCAGGUACUUAAGCUAUCAGCUGCUGCUUCCCAAGGUGUGCAUAGUAGGAAGCAGGAAGUGGAAACAGAAGGUAGGACUAGAACCCAGGCAGUCCACAAGAUGUGGGCAUCAUGCCUGCUGUGCCAAACACUGGCCCCGUGUGAUAUUGUUAAGGCCAGUUUUUAAAAAAUGGAACUUGAAGUGUAGGAAUAGUGAGGGGCUUAGUUUAGCUGGAGAGAUGGAGAAUGUACAUGGGAUUUAAUCAGGAAAACCACUACUCCAUUUGAAAACUGGGAGCAGUAUUCAUGUGUGCACAUUGAGCCCCUUAUAUCUGGAAGCCACAUCUUGACAUUAAACAUUUGAACUUUGUCCAUCAGGGAAAUGGAAAGAACAUGGGCUUCUAUGUCAGCUCUGCAUUCAGAUCAUUAUGUGACUUUGCAAGGUAUUUAACCUCUUGCUACAAACCGGCCCUUAAAAUGGCAUUUUGUAGGUUGUGUAUGGAGCAUGUGGGAGGGAUUUCUAUUUUUAACUGUUUGCCACCCAAAAAGAGUUCAUAUUAGAAGCACCUAACUACUCAGAGAAGUUUGAACUUUCCAUUUCUUAGGAACAUAAUUCAAGAGAUGCCAUGGGGCAGGUGUUUACAUAGUCUAGUGGUUAAGACUUGGUAGCCCCGCCGGUGCCGCUGCUCACUAGGCUAAUCCUCCGCCUAACGGCGCCGGCACACCGGGUUCUAGUCCCGGUUGGGGCGCCGGAUUCUGUCCCGGUUGCCCCUCUUCCAGGCCAGCUCUCUGCUGUGGCCAGGGAGUGCAGUGGAGGAUGGCCCAAGUCCUUGGGCCCUGCAUCCCAUGGGAGACCAGGAUAAGUACCUGGCUUCUGCCAUCAGAUCAGCGCGUUGUGCUGCGCUGGCCGCGGUGGCCAUUGGAGGGUGAACCAACGGCAAAGGAAGACCUUUCUGUCUCUCUCUCUCCACUCUGCCUGUCAAAAAAAACACAAAAAACAAACAAACAAAAAAAAACAAAAAAACCUGGGUAGCCUUGUGUCCCCAUAUCAGAGUGCCUGGUUCAAACCUUGGCUCUUGCUGAUUCCAGCUUCCUGCUAAUUCAGACCCUGGGAGGCAGCACAGCAGUGAUGGUUCAAAUAAUUGGGGUCCUGCCACCGACUCAGAAGACCUCGAUUGUGUUCCCAGCUCCCCGCUUUUGCCCCAGCUUCAGCUGUUGAGGGCAUCUGGGGAGGGAACCGGCAGAUGAAUACUUUGUAUCUCUGUGCCUCUAAAAUAAAUUUUUUUUUGGAAAAAAUAUGUUUCAAGAUGCUAGUUGAUUGAGAUCUGAUUUUGCACAAUACAAGGCUUUCACAAUUAAAAAAUGAAAAUACUGCUUGAGAUUUUGGGUUCUCAGUGUCCCUUUGGACUUUCUGCUUUUCUCACCUAUGUGUAGUAUAAUUCCAACCCAGUGCUAAGUACACAGGAAAUUCCUACCCUGCCUACUUGUACACCUACUGAAAUCCCCUUAGAUCCACUGUCACCUUUCUAGUAUGGGUAGUGGCAUUUCUUCCUCCCUACCCCUCCCCCCUUUCUUUUUCUUUCUUUCUUUUCUUCUUUUAAAGAUUUAUUCACUAUAGAGAGGUCUUCCAGCGGCUGCUUUCACUCCCAAAUGGCCACAAUAGUUGGGCUGAGCUGAAGCCAGGAGCCAGGAGCUUCUUCGGGUCUCCCACAGGGGUGCAGGGGCCCAAGCAGUUGGGCCAUCUUCUACUGCUUUCCCAGGCCAUAAACAGAGAGCUGGAUGGGAUGGGAAGAGGAGCAGCUAGGACAUGAACUGGCGCACAUAUGGGAUGCCAGCACUGCAGGCAGAGGCUUAGCCUACUGCGCCACAGUGCUGGGCCAGGCAUUUCUUUCUAGACUCCUUUGCCACAAUCUGUUCUUCAAAGUAGCUAAAAUGAUCUAUUUAGAAUGUCACCACCUGUUACUAUAAUACAUAAUGCCUCCAAUGGUUUCCCAUUUAACUUUGCAUAAAACACAGCACUUCCAGUCACUCCCAUCGGUUCCACGUUUUCUCACUCAUGCACAUCGGUCUCUGAGCCUUUGCACUCGCAGGCCUCCCUGCUUAGAAUGCUCUUCUCCCAGGUUUCACGUGAUAGGCCCCCACUCCGAAGUCCUGCCUCCAGUGGGGGCUUUCACCACCCUGUCUAAAAUAAGUUCCUCUAGACUCCCCUGUCACACCCGUCGGCCCACACUGGCUUUUUCCUAAGGCUUACCCACCAACAAGCUGUUUUACUAAGACAGUGGCAGGGAUGGGGCUUCCUCCUUACUGUAUGCCCCUCACCUAAUCUUGAAGUAUCAGACCCACGUUGGAGUAUGUACUGAACACUACCUGAGGGAUGAAUGAAUGCCAUAUCCUGCCAUGCCCUGACACUUCUAAGCCAUCACUGUUACUUGUGCUUUCCUGUUUCAAAAUCUGAUAUGUGUUCCUUCUGUAAGUGAAUUUAUUCAUUUUGCAAAAGUAAGAAUGGGUUCCAAGAGCUCAUGGUCUAGAGCCCAGGGAAGCAGACCCAUGGGCCUUGGGUCAAAUCCAGGCCUAUGCAUGGUUUACAUGUAUCAUGUUUCUUUUCAGUGAAUCACUGGCUGACUUUUUUUUUUUUUUGUAACUUAAUACAACUUAAAUUCAUUCUGUAGCUGACAUUUUUAAUUGGAGACAGUCACAUUAAAAGCCUAGACUUGAAGCUGCUGUUUACAGAGACCCACAGUCCCUCAAGGCAGCAGCGGUGGACGGGCGCCAGGUGACCCUCUGAGAAAGGUGUCCGUGCCCCUGUGCUGGAUGACCGGUCACCCUGCUGCCUGCAGUCACUGCAGCCAGGUGUCAGUGUGGAGCCUGCCUGGAAUCCUGCUCCUUUCAUUUCCUGAUCUUGGCAAAAGUCUCAAGACCUGUGACCCUGUCACUGUACAGGCUGCUGAGUCAACUGAAAAUCAGAUCGAUUCCUGUGUCCAGCACCUCUCCAAUGUGUUUGAACCUUUCCAAAUUUUUAAAAGGUUUAUCUUACUUACCUGAAAUGCAGAGUUACCGGGAGAGAGAGACAAAAAAGAGAGGUCUUAUUAUAUCCGCUGAAUCAUUCCCCAAAUGGCCACAAUGGCCGGGGCUGAGCCAGACCAAAGCCAAGAACUGGGUAUCCCGUGUGGGUGCAGGGGCCCAAGCACUUGGACCGUCUUCCACUGCUUUCCCAGAAGCAUUAGAAGAGAGCUAGAUGGGAAGUGGAGCAGCCGGGACUCAAACUAGCUCCCAUAUAGGAUGCCAGUAUUGCAGGAAGCAGCUUUACCCACCACACCACAGUGCCAGCCCCAAAGCUAGAAUUUUUUACUUGAGCAACUCUUACAUUGCUGGAGCACUUAGAGAAAAAUUUCACAAACUGAUUUAUUGUAUUUCCAUAGAGCAAAUAAUACAUGAGAUCUUUGUCCAGAGCACAAGGCACAUCACAAGUCUAAGAUUCACAAGAGGAUGGAACAUCUCUCCCUUGGAAAAGGAAGGCUUUCAGAAGUUAAACUCAGUUUACUGACUAAACCCCCUGUGCAACACAAUAAAAAAUAAAAUCUCUUAUCUGGCUUCAGAACUGGCAAGCAACUGUGGUGGGGAGCACUUCCUAAAUAUUCAUUGAUGAUGAACGUGUGGACAGGCGAAAGAACCGUGUCGCCAUUUCAGGAGGCCGUGGGAGACGCUGGUGAUGGAAGCAGGACCUUAACUAGCUCUUGCAAAUUGCGGCCCAUUCAGCUGGUCACAGUGGACUCGAACAAGGGCCUGCAGUCUGGACUGGGACUGCUCUUAGGAAGAGCAGAGCAAACUGCAGCACUGGGCGGGGUGUUUAAACAACCAACUCCCCAGAACGUCAAAGCUGAUGAGACUCAGUGACUCCACCCUGUGGGAGGAAAACAAAAACAAAAACCCAUCCUGUUUCACUCUGCGUUGGAAGCAAGGCGACGGCCAUAAACAGAACCGGUUAAAGUGG